rnacentral:rRNA from 1 species
CUAUGUGUUGUUGGGUAGGGGAGCGUUCUGUAAGCCUGUGAAGGUGUGCUGUGAGGCAUGCUGGAGGUAUCAGAAGUGCGAAUGCUGACAUAAGUAACGAUAAAGCGGGUGAAAAGCCCGCUCGCCGGAAGACCAAGGGUUCCUGUCCAACGUUAAUCGGGGCAGGGUGAGUCGACCCCUAAGGCGAGGCCGAAAGGCGUAGUCGAUGGGAAACAGGUUAAUAUUCCUGUACUUGGUGUUACUGCGAAGGGGGGACGGAGAAGGCUAUGUUGGCCGGGCGACGGUUGUCCCGGUUUAAGCGUGUAGGCUGGUUUUCCAGGCAAAUCCGGAAAAUCAAGGCUGAGGCGUGAUGACGAGGCACUACGGUGCUGAAGCAACAAAUGCCCUGCU